UGGCGAACGGGUGAGUAACACGUGGGUGAUCUGCCAUGCACUAUGGGAUAAGCCUGGGAAACUGGGUCUAAUACCGGAUAGGACCAUGCUUUAGUGUGUGUGGUGGAAAGUUUUUUCGGUGUAGGAUGAGCCCGCGGCCUAUCAGCUUGUUGGUGGGGUAAUGGCCUACCAAGGCGGCGACGGGUAGCCGGACUGAGAGGUUGGUCGGCCACAUUGGGACUGAGAUACGGCCCAG
rnacentral:rRNA from 1 species